UACAGAGACUGCAAGCGUUAUUCGGAUUCACUGGGCGUAAAGGGUGCGCAGGCGGCCAAGUGUGUGAGGCGUGAAAGCCUGGAGCUUAACUCCAGAAUUGCACCUCAAACUACUUGGCUAGGGCAUUGGAGAGGGUAGCAGAAUUCAUGGUGUAGCAGUGAAAUGCGUAGAUAUCAUGAGGAAUACCAGAGGCGAAGGCGGCUACCUGGACCGGUUCUGACGCUGAUGCGCGAAAGCGUGGGUAGCAAACAGG
rnacentral:rRNA from 1 species